GCGUUCGUGGUGUAGUGGUCAGCACACUCGAUGCGUAACGGAGAUGUCCGUGGUUCGAUUCCCGGCAAAGGCG
rnacentral:tRNA from 1 species